rnacentral:rRNA from 1 species
CCUACGGGGGGCUGCAGUGAGGAAUAUUGGUCAAUGGACGAGAGUCUGAACCAGCCAAGUCGCGUGCAGGAUGACUGCCCUAUGGGUUGUAAACUUCUUUUAUAUGGGAGUAAAAUUUUCCACGUGUGUGAUUCUGUAUGUACCAUAUGAAUAAGGAUCGGCUAACUCCGUGCCAGCAGCCGCGGUAAUACGGAGGAUCCGAGCGUUAUCCGGAUUUAUUGGGUUUAAAGGGUGCGUAGGUGGAUUGAUAAGUCAGUUGUGAAAGGUUGCGGCUUAACCGUAGAACUGCAGUUGAUACUGGCAGUCUUGAGUACAGUAGAGGUAGGCGGAAUGCGUGGUGUAGCGGUGAAAUGCUUAGAUAUCACGAAGAACACCGAUUGCGAAGGCAGCUCACUGGACUACAACUGACACUGAGGCUCGAAAGUGUGGGUAGCAAACAGGAUUAGAUACCCCAGUAGUC